CGGGGUGAGUAAUGUCUGGGAAACUGCCUGAUGGAGGGGGAUAACUACUGGAAACGGUAGCUAGUACCGCAUAACGUCGCAAGACCAAAGAGGGGGACCUUCGGGCCUCUUGCCAUCGGAUGUGCCCAGAUGGGAUUAGCUAGUAGGUGGGGUAACGGCUCACCUAGGCGACGAUCCCUAGCUGGUCUGAGAGGAUGGCCAGCCACACUGGAACUGAGACACGGUCCAG
rnacentral:rRNA from 1 species